rnacentral:rRNA from 1 species
GGUUAAGCGACUAAGCGUACACGGUGGAUGCCCUGGCAGUCAGAGGCGAUGAAGGACGUGCUAAUCUGCGAAAAGCGUCGGUAAGGUGAUAUGAACCGUUACAGCCGGCGAUGUCCGAAUGGGGAAACCCAGUGCAAUUCGUUGCACUAUCGUUAACUGAAUACAUAGGUUAACGAGGCGAACCGGGGGAACUGAAACAUCUAAGUACCCCGAGGAAAAGAAAUCAACCGAGAUUCCCCCAGUAGCGGCGAGCGAACGGGGAGCAGCCCAGAGUCUGAAUCAGCUUGUGUGUUAGUGGAACGGUCUGGAAAGUCCGACGGUACAGGGUGAUAGUCCCGUACACCAAAAUGCACAGGUUGUGAACUCGAAGAGUAGGGCGGGACACGUGGUAUCCUGUCUGAAUAUGGGGGGACCAUCCUCCAAGGCUAAAUACUCCUGACUGACCGAUAGUGAACCAGUACCGUGAGGGAAAGGCGAAAAGAACCCCGGCGAGGGGAGUGAAAAAGAACCUGAAACCGUGUACGUACAAGCAGUGGGAGCACCUUCGGGUGUGACUGCGUACCUUUUGUAUAAUGGGUCAGCGACUUAUAUUCUGUAGCAAGGUUAACCGUAUAGGGGAGCCGCAGGGAAACCGAGUCUUAACUGGGCGUUAAGUUGCAGGGUAUAGACCCGAAACCCGGUGAUCUAGCCAUGGGCAGGUUGAAGGUUGGGUAACACUAACUGGAGGACCGAACCGACUAAUGUUGAAAAAUUAGCGGAUGACUUGUGGCUGGGGGUGAAAGGCCAAUCAAACCGGGAGAUAGCUGGUUCUCCCCGAAAGCUAUUUAGGUAGCGCCUCGUGAAUUCAUCUUCGGGGGUAGAGCACUGUUUCGGCUAGGGGGUCAUCCCGACUUACCAACCCGAUGCAAACUACGAAUACCGAAGAAUGUUAUCACGGGAGACACACGGCGGGUGCUAACGUCCGUCGUGAAGAGGGAAACAACCCAGACCGCCAGCUAAGGUCCCAAAGUCAUGGUUAAGUGGGAAACGAUGUGGGAAGGCACAGACAGCCAGGAUGUUGGCUUAGAAGCAGCCAUCAUUUAAAGAAAGCGUAAUAGCUCACUGGUCGAGUCGGCCUGCGCGGAAGAUGUAACGGGGCUAAACCAUGCACCGAAGCUGCGGCAGCGACACUAUGUGUUGUUGGGUAGGGGAGCGUUCUGUAAGCCUGCGAAGGUGUGCUGUGAGGCAUGCUGGAGGUAUCAGAAGUGCGAAUGCUGACAUAAGUAACGAUAAAGCGGGUGAAAAGCCCGCUCGCCGGAAGACCAAGGGUUCCUGUCCAACGUUAAUCGGGGCAGGGUGAGUCGACCCCUAAGGCGAGGCCGAAAGGCGUAGUCGAUGGGAAACAGGUUAAUAUUCCUGUACUUGGUGUUACUGCGAAGGGGGGACGGAGAAGGCUAUGUUAGCCGGGCGACGGUUGUCCCGGUUUAAGCAUGUAGGCUGGUUAUCCAGGCAAAUCCGGAUAAUCAAGGCUGAGGUGUGAUGACGAGGCACUACGGUGCUGAAGUAACAAAUGCCCUGCUUCCAGGAAAAGCCUCUAAGCAUCAGGUAACAUCAAAUCGUACCCCAAACCGACACAGGUGGUCAGGUAGAGAAUACCAAGGCGCUUGAGAGAACUCGGGUGAAGGAACUAGGCAAAAUGGUGCCGUAACUUCGGGAGAAGGCACGCUGGUGUGUAGGUGAAGUCCCUGCGGAUGGAGCUGAGACCAGUCGAAGAUACCAGCUGGCUGCAACUGUUUAUUAAAAACACAGCACUGUGCAAACACGAAAGUGGACGUAUACGGUGUGACGCCUGCCCGGUGCCGGAAGGUUAAUUGAUGGGGUUAUCCGUAAGGAGAAGCUCUUGAUCGAAGCCCCGGUAAACGGCGGCCGUAACUAUAACGGUCCUAAGGUAGCGAAAUUCCUUGUCGGGUAAGUUCCGACCUGCACGAAUGGCGUAAUGAUGGCCAGGCUGUCUCCACCCGAGACUCAGUGAAAUUGAACUCGCUGUGAAGAUGCAGUGUACCCGCGGCAAGACGGAAAGACCCCGUGAACCUUUACUAUAGCUUGACACUGAACAUUGAGCCUUGAUGUGUAGGAUAGGUGGGAGGCUUUGAAGCGUGGACGCCAGUCUGCGUGGAGCCAACCUUGAAAUACCACCCUUUAAUGUUUGAUGUUCUAACGUUGGCCCCUGACCGGGGUUGCGGACAGUGUCUGGUGGGUAGUUUGACUGGGGCGGUCUCCUCCCAAAGCGUAACGGAGGAGCACGAAGGUUAGCUAAUCCUGGUCGGACAUCAGGAGGUUAGUGCAAUGGCAUAAGCUAGCUUGACUGCGAGCGUGACGGCGCGAGCAGGUGCGAAAGCAGGUCAUAGUGAUCCGGUGGUUCUGAAUGGAAGGGCCAUCGCUCAACGGAUAAAAGGUACUCCGGGGAUAACAGGCUGAUACCGCCCAAGAGUUCAUAUCGACGGCGGUGUUUGGCACCUCGAUGUCGGCUCAUCACAUCCUGGGGCUGAAGUAGGUCCCAAGGGUAUGGCUGUUCGCCAUUUAAAGUGGUACGCGAGCUGGGUUUAGAACGUCGUGAGACAGUUCGGUCCCUAUCUGCCGUGGGCGCUGGAGAAUUGAGGGGGGCUGCUCCUAGUACGAGAGGACCGGAGUGGACGCAUCACUGGUGUUCGGGUUGUCAUGCCAAUGGCACUGCCCGGUAGCUAAAUGCGGAAGAGAUAAGUGCUGAAAGCAUCUAAGCACGAAACUUGCCCCGAGAUGAGUUCUCCCUGAGACUUUAAGUCUCCUGAAGGAACGUUAAAGACGAUGACGUUGAUAGGCCGGGUGUGUAAGCGCAGCGAUGCGUUGAGCUAACCGGUACUAAUGAACCGUGAGGCUUAACCUU